UCAAAUUCAUGGAGACAGAAAGUAGCAUGGCAGUUGCCAAGGGCUGGGGAAAGCGAUGCCCAUUCCACCUUCAGCUCUGUGGAUCUGGGGAGUCAGUGUUUAAUGUGUACAGAAUUUCAGUUUGGGAAGAUGAAAAAGUUUUGGAAGUGGAUGAUGGUGAUUGCUACACACUAGUGCACUUAAAACCACUGAACUGUACACCUAAAAGUGGUUAAAAUGGUAAAUCUUAGGUAUAUUUUAUCACAAUAAAAUUAUGUUAAAAGUUUUACAUUAAAGAAAAGGGCCAGGUCAACCUGCUACUUUAUAGCAUCCUGUCCAGCUAUAAAAAUAGUGUUUAUGACAAGUAUGAAGUAGAAUUGGAAAUGCUUAUGACAAAGUUCUGACAAUUAUGUCUCUGCAAAAAUAAACACCACCAAAGGCCCCAAGGAAAUACAUCAAAAUAGAGCCAUGGGUGUUUUUAUGUCACAAAGAAGAUACAAAUAUUUUUUUCUUUACUUCUCUUUUCCAGUGUUUUGUUUUUUUUUUCUUUUUUUCCAUGAGCAGGUACUACUUUUAAAGGGGGAAAAUAACAAAGUUCAUUUUCUUCCAUAACUUCAUUUGAAAAGAAAGGGAGGAAGAACAGAAAGAAAACCCUUUAUGUUUUGUGUCCCUAGAGGCUUUUAAGCCCAGCUCAGGAAAAGGGCAAUUAAUCAGGCUGGCAACUGCUUUCAGCUCUCUGUUUUUUUGUGUAGUGGAUCCCCCGGACAGGCUGGUGAAAAGCCUGUGGGGCAUUCUUGGAAUAACAUUUUUAAAUGCAUGUAACAAAACAUAGGGUUAUGAAGGAAACUGAUUAUUCUGAAACACGUUGUCAAAAAAUAUUUUUAAAUCCUGAUACAGUAUAUCAAUCAGAGCCAAGUCAGGAAAAAAGAAAUGACAGCAGUGAUUUCAAUAGAAGCAGUACAGGGAGUCCCUAAACAGGUGUUGCAUGGCUGAAAAAGCAAAGGAGGUCUCAUGCCACAGAGGCCUCAUCUCAGGAACAGCUAGGGCUGGAGACAAAGACCGGGGUGAUGGUCUCAGAAGGCUUGGAGUGGGGACCCGGACCGCGGGGGCUCAGGCGGGACUGAUGAGGGUGGUCUCUGGGCGUGUGAAAAACACUACAAACGGAACCAACAGCUGCUGCCAGGGUGAAGUCCCGUUGCUGGGGUGACGCUCAGAGAAACAGGAAGCAGGCAGGAAGCAGCGUGCUCCAGGCUGCCUCCUCCCACUGCCCAGGCUCUUUGGCCCUCCUGGGGGCAGGGCCCGAUAGGGCACAGCUCUGGCCCUGUGGUAAGGAAGGGAGGGUUUGCAGUGGAGAGGCAACAGUUCAACAGUCAGCACAUGCAUGCACGUCCUUAUUCUACCAAAUACCGACGGUGAUGCCUGACAACCAUUUCCCCAGCUCUCAGCAACAACCCUAAAGUGACAGAGAAAUAUCUGUGGUUUCUAUUGGUGCUGAGGUCACACAGACUUCUAAUGCUACUGAAGGUUUUUGCCGGCAUUCAUAAUGGAAGUGAAACCACGUAUAAAGAUGCAGUAGAUUUGUAAUAAAAGAAGACCCAGCCCUCAGCCGAAGAAGUUAGGCUAAUCCGUGUGGGGGUUUCAUUUCACCUGAAGAGAAGGUCCCUCCUUCACUGUCUCACAAAGUGAAAGAAAGCACAAUGUGUGGUAAGUCUGUUCUUCACCUAAAACGAUGGUACACUGCCACUGUAUUGUAAAAGAAUUUCUCAUGCUUUGUGAAGAAUGAAACACUGCAACCAUUUAUAUAAAACACCAAAAUUCAGUAUUUUGUGACUUAUCUAUAGCAAUACCUGGAAACACAGAUGACUCAAAUUGAGAGGUUAUGUUCAGAGCUUCAAUAUCAGGGACAUAGUUAAAAGGAUAUAUCAUCCACAUUUAGAUACUGUAAAGUCUUAUUUCAAAAUAUGAUAAAGUAGAUAUUCUCUUAGAACAAUCAGAAGGAAACUAAAUUUAGAACGUAUCAACAGCGGGUGCCUGGGUGAAAUCUUGGCAAGGACAAAUAUUGAAAAAAUAGUUCAAUAUUUUUUCAAGAACAAGAUAAACUUUGUGUUGAGGAGUACAGAAAAUUCCCUGCUUUCUUUCCAUUUUGACAGAACCAUCUGAUCAUAAUGGAAACCUACGUUUUAAGAUCUUUUAUUUUUUUAUUUUUCAAAUAUUAAAUUCUCCUUGAACACAAAACACUGAUUCUCUUGCAUAAGAACCACAUUCCCCACCUUGAUUUUAAGAGAUUCAUUCCUAUUGCCAGUAGAUAGCUAUAUACUGUCUACUAUUUUUUAAAAAGCCACUAAGGAAACAAGAAGUUGGGGCACUGAUCCUUACUCUCUAAAGUUAUUGUAAAGUUGGCCGGCUGUGUGCGCUCAAGGAAUUCUAGAAACCAUGAGAAGGAACUGAAGGAAAGUGACCCAGCAAGGCAGGUUCUGCUGUGGUUCAAGCCAGCCAUGAGGAGGGUCUGAGUUUGGGCAGAGCAGAAAGGAGUGGACUUCGAAAACCUUUUAAAGGCAGAGUUCAUGAAUGGGGCAGUGGACAGAUUUGCAGGACCAAAGGUAGCCGGAGGUGGCCAGACUGGGCAUUUGCAGAAAGCGGCUACAGUGAAGGGUAAGCUCGUGUAAAGGCUAGUUUUCAGGGCCAAAAGAUAACUUCAGCUCAUGAGUAGCUUAUGCUUUAGUGAGAAAUCACAUAAAGUGAAAGUCAAGAGAUCAACACAUGUGGAUGAGAAGAGAAGUAGAAAUUGCUACGCUGUGUUUUGUUUUGUUUUGUUUUGUUUUUUUGAGAUGGAGUCUUGCUCUGUCACC